CAUCUUUACAAAGCACGGUGAAAGAGGCUGUUUGUUUCUCCCGAGCUCUGUGGAGAUCUGCAAAACAUAAACACUCAGUGCUCACCUCAAAGGCAAACCAUAGUGACCACAUCCCCAGGAAGCUUGGAAAAGACUCAGGAUGGAUCCAAGUACUGGGAGAAGGAAAUCUCUAGAUCUGUGAGGGGUCAGACACUGCAAAACCACACUCUCUGAGCUCUGGAUCCUGCUGGAAUAGGCAGAGGAUACAGCUGACCAAUUUGGACCCUCUGUGUUGUGAGAUCGUCUGCAACACAGCAACUUAUGUCAAGCUGGGGUGGGGGGUAUCCAAAUGCUAGAGCCUUCAGCCCAGCAUCCAGAUGAACCAGGUCUCCUAGCCCAGGCUUUAUAACUAAUAGGACGUCUAUGGAGAGGCUCAUGAAGGGUAUAAAAAUCUCCUCAAAGUA